rnacentral:rRNA from 1 species
UAUGAAGCUUUACUGUAGCUUGAUAUUGAACUCAGGCUUAUCCUGCGCAGUAUAGGUGGGAGGCAAAGAAAAUAAGUUUGAGGACUUAUUGGAGCCAAAAAUGAGAUACCACUCUUGAUAAGUUAGAUUUCUAAUUUUGAAUGCCAUAAACUGGCCAAAAAACAUUGUCAGGUAGGCAGUUUGACUGGGGCGGUCGCCUCCUAAAAGGUAACGGAGGCGUGCAAAGGUUUCUUCAAACUGGUCGGAAAUCAGUUGUAGAGUAUAAAGGCAUAAAGAAGCUUGACUGCGAGACUCACAAGUCGAGCAGAGACGAAAGUCGGCCUUAGUGAUCCGACAGUGCUGAGUGGAAAGGCUGUCGCUCAACGGAUAAAAGUUA